rnacentral:rRNA from 1 species
GACGGGGGGUCCAAGCGUUGUCGGAAUCAUUGGGCGUAAAGCGGGCGUAGGUGGCCAUGUAAGUCAGGAGUGAAAGCCCUGGGCUCAACCCAGGAAGUGCUCUUGAUACUGCAUGGCUUGAAUGUGGGAGAGGGUAGUGGAAUUCCAGGUGUAGUGGUGAAAUACGUAGAUAUCUGGAGGAACACCAGUGGCGAAGGCGGCUCGCUGGACCUGACCUGACGCUGAGGCGCGAAGGCGUGGGGAGCGAACGGG